rnacentral:rRNA from 1 species
AUACGUAGGGGGCGAGCGCUGUACGGAAUGAUUGGGCGUAAAGGGCGCGUAGGCAGCCCGGUAAGUCUGGAGUGAAAGUCCUGUUUUUAAGAUGGGAAUUGCUUUGGAUACUGUCGGGCUUGAGUGCAGGAGUGGUAAGUGGAAUUCCCAGCGUAGCGGUUAAAUUCGUAGAGAUUGGGAGGAACACCAGUGGCGGAGGCGACUUACUGGACUGUAACUGACGCUGAGGCGCGAAAGUGUGGGGAGCAAACAGGAUUAGAUACCCUGGUAGUCCACACUGUAAACGAUGAAUGCUAGGUGUAGGGGGUAUCGACCCCUUCUGUGCCGCAGUCAACACAAAAAGCAUUCCGCCUGGGGAGUACGGCCGCAAGGUUGAAACUCAAAGGA